rnacentral:ribozyme from 1 species
UGCCCAGCAACUCCUAUCCCUACCUCCUCGUGGUACCGGCUGGAGACUACGAGCCUCCUUAGGAAAGAUCGGGUAACCAACUCUGGUGGGAACUUUGGUUUGAGGCUGACAGGGAAGG